GGGCUUGUAGUUUAAAGGUAAAACACGUUGCUCAUAACAACGCUGAUGUAGGUUCAAUCCCUGCUAGGCCCA